GGGAAAGCCCCGCUGAGGCAGCGGGGGAGGAGAGGAUCACGGGAGGGCGGAAAAAGGGCGGGAAAGCCCCUCUGAGGCGGCGGCGCCUCAGCGGAUCCGGCAGAGCGGCGUUGGCACAUUUACGUCAUUGCAGCUGGGUUAAUUUACAGUUCUUGAGGUGCCCUGUGUUCACAGAAGCAUGACGAGUUUCCUGGGGAAGUGCUCUGAUAAGAGGAGGCUUUGAUACCUGCCUGAUUGAAUUCAUGGCAUACAGGGAGCUGAGAGAAAGGUGCUCAUGGUUCCAGAAGCAGCACUCCCAGAGGAGCUCACUUCCCAACUCCCCAAGUGCUUUGUGUUUGACAGCAGUUCUGCCAGUCUCCACGUGCUGAUUGUUCCCUUGGCUGCAGUUCAGGGUGCCCUGUGUUCACAGAAGCAUGACGAGUUUCCUGGGGAAGUGCUCUGAUAAGAGGAGGCUUUGAUACCUGCCUGAUUGAAUUCAUGGCAUACAGGGAGCUGAGAGAAAAGUGCUCAUGGUUAUCUGUGCCAACCCAAAAUUCAGAUAGGAGGCUUACGACAUGUAGAUAUGGACUUGUUCGAGUCAUGAAGGAAAGUUCUGUCAAGUGUUUCCCACACCUCCUGCAAGAUAUAAAAGUUGAAGGUCUCUGGGACUUCCUUGCGUUCUUACCUUCUGCAGCCUCUUGCUCUCAUCUGAAAGAAAAAUGAAGAGAUUUGCUGCAGUCCUCAUUUGCCUGGGAGUCUUUUGGGCUCACAUUUCUGCAUUGAACACCUUUGUGCUGCGAGAUCCCAUCAACAACUAUGUCACUGGGACCAUGACCAUCCACAGCGAGGAGCACAUCGUCGACGUGCACGUCCGCUCGGGCGUCUACUCCUCUGACACCAUCUUUGACUACACACACGGGUAUAUUGCCACCAGGCUGUUUUCACGAAAUGCCUGCUUUAUCAUGAAAAUAAAGAAGGAACUGAUCCCAGACCUGGAAGAGAUUGGACGUCUGGCAUUUGAGAGAGAGACCAUGAGGGAUGUAUACUCUCCAAAUAAUGUGUGGGCCCAGUUCCAAGCUGGCAGCUCCAGGCUGGGGCACUUUAAAGACUGGAUUCUCUAUGGGAAAUACAUUGAAAAUCUCUGCACGGGGCUGCCUCUCUACGAGCUGGUGGCCACUGAACCACCAGCAAAUGAUGAUGGCUGUGCCAGUGCUGGCAUUCCAAGCAUUCUGGGCCUUAAAAUCUGUGAAGAACUCAUUGCAACUGAAUAUUGACAUUUCUGUUGCAAGGAAAUGCCUUUUUGAAUGUUUUAGUGAUGGUAACCACGUUCUCCAGCUGGAACAGAACUCUGGUGCUUGAUAUUAAAACUGGACUACAGGGAAAGACCAAAGAGAAAAUCUGCCCCUGGAGUGUGUGUCUGCAACCACUACAAAUUGCCGAGGUCCAACCCAGCAAGAUCCAUGUGCAAGAGGAAGGGGAAAAAUUCCUCACUCAGCUUCAACCAAGGUGCCUGAUUUGAAACACUGAGUUUAUAAAUUAUCAGGGGUGAGCUGGGUCUUGCAGCGUUGCUUAUUUGAAAUAAAUUAAUGUCUUGGCUGGAGAGCCAGGCCAGAUUUCCAAGGAAUACACCCCAAUUCUUUAUUCCUUCCUGCUGGAGAGAGAUUCCCAUUGUCCACUAGAUGGCAAAGGGUGACAGCAGCCUCAGGAUCCGGGCUCUGAGAUGUGCUAAAAACAUCUGAGAUGUGGUAAAAACGGCUCAGAAAUAAAACAGAUUUAAUCCUGUCACCCUGUUCCCCAGGAAGUAAAAUCUGAGCUGGGAUACAAAGCAUGAGAAUUCAUUCUUUCGGGUUUCCAAUCCAGUGGGAUGUUUAUUUUCACUUGUAAUUAUGCCCCAUUUGGUGAUUAACGGAACUAUUUUUUGAUUUCUUAAUGAUUUUAAUUUUUCUCUCUUACAUAUUUAGAUGUAACUUUAAAAAAUAUAAAUAUAAAAUACAAAUAUAUCUAUAAUUAAUCUAAUAAUAUAACUCAAUUAAUAUUAAUACUGUUAAUGAUAUAAUAAUUAACUAUAUUUUUAGUAUAUAUAGAUAUAUUUAUAUAUGUUUUUAUAUAUUCUGUUCUAUAAUGAGACACUGCCUUUGCAUGGCCCCAUCCUCUGCUGGGUUUGUGUCUCUCACACCCCUGCCAGUCCUUUUCUCUGCCCUUUUUUGCAGCUCACCAGGAGGCAGCUCCCCCUUUAUUUAAUUUUCUGAGGGUGUGUGCCAGGAGAGGAUGGUGAUUCAGACCUACUCAAGGUUGUUUUUUUAUUGGGUAGAAAACCAAGUGUGGACUAAAGUCAAUCCUUUUGUAGCAGUGCUGAAGGAGCAGAAAACACCUUUUAAAAAGCAGUUUGUAUUUGCUGGGGUGGGGACUGAUGUGGGCUCCUCACGGACCAAGCCGUGGAUCCCUGAAAUUCCCAAUUUUGUAAAAUCUGAGGAGCUGCUGCCACUGCACCCUCAUUUGCUCUUUUGUGAGCUGUUUUUUAACAGGUGUCAAGAAAAAAAAGCCAUUUUGAUGUGGUGGUGAAAUUCAGAGAGGAAUCAGUGCUUUGGCUUUUUGUCCUGGAGAAAUGAAAGAUUUUGCAGGUGAGGAGCACUGAGCAGCAGCUCUGGCCAGGCCCCUGAGCAUGCACAGCCACUCUGAGCAUCCCAGCCAAAAUCUGCAGAAACCAAGGGGA